CACCGCCCGAAUACAGCCACCAUCCUUUUCUCUUUUCCUUUUUUUUUUCUCUUUCUUUAAAUGCAUCUUCUCUCUCUCAUAGUAUGAAUCCUUUCCUUACAAGUAUAGAGAAGACCAAUACCUAUAUCUUCAUCGUACCUUUUUCACAUUAAUUCUUUCCCCCAUUCAUUACAUUCAAUUUACCAAUUCUUUUAUAUAUAUACAGCUUCCUCUUGUCUCGACCCCCCUGUCAAAUUCCUCCAUUGUUUUCUCUGAAUUCAACACUAUGAUUGGACCCAGCAAUUUGAGAUGGGUCAUCUUCUUAGCGUUAGCUCUUAUCGGAUCCUACCCGUUAAGGGUAAUCCACUCACUUGGUGAUGGGAGAAAUCACGGGCAGAAACAAAAGCAGCAACAGAGGUUAUUGGUUCCAAUGACUCUUGUUCGUAAUGCUUCUUCUCUGGGAGCAGUUUGUUUAGAUGGGAGCCCACCAGCUUACCACAUUCAUAGAGGAUUUGGCUCUGGCCUACACAACUGGCUCUUACAGUUUGAGGGAGGAGGGUGGUGCAACGAUGUGGCUUCGUGUCUGGAGAGAUCGAGAUCGAGGCGAGGAUCGACGAGAUUGAUGAACAAGCUUGAAGUUUUCUCCGGAAUUCUCAGCGAUGAUCCUACCAUGAAUCCAGAUUUCUAUAAUUGGAACAGGGUAAAACUUCGGUAUUGUGAUGGUGCUUCAUUUGGUGGUGAUUCAGAAUAUAAAAAUGGUUCAACAGUUCUCUUCUUCAGAGGCCAAAGAAUAUGGGAUGCUAUAAUGGUUGAUCUGUUCUCAGAAGGAUUUCUGCUGGCCCAAAAGGUAUUUCUUUCAGGAUGUUCUGCCGGUGGCCUUGCUACAUUUCUUCACUGUGAUGAUCUUGCUCAACUUAUCCCACCAAAUGCCAGUAUCAAGUGCAUGAGUGAUGCAGGAUUUUUCUUAGACGUUGGAGACAUAACUGGGAACAACACUAUAAGUCUCUUCUUCCGUGGUGUAGUCAACUUGCAGGAUAUCUUGCAGGGCGUACAAAAGAAUCUACAAGCAAUCUGUAGAUCUUUUCAGGACUACCUGUAUCAGUGUUUCUUUCCGCAAUAUUCAUUGCCAUACAUCAGAACACCUUAUUUUAUAUUGAAUUCAGCCUACGAUGUAUACCAGUUCCAUCAUAUAUUUGUGCCACCUUCCGCUGAUCCUCGUGGGCAUUGGAACCAUUGCAAGUUAAACCCAGCAGAAUGUACAGGAGAUCAGAUCAAUAUCCUCCAAGGAUUCAGAUACAAAAUGUUGGCGGCAUUGAGACGAUUUGAGAACUCUAUGAAUGGUGGCAUGUUCAUAAAUUCCUGCUUCGCUCAUUGCCAAAGUGAGCUUCAAGAGACAUGGUUUGCACCUGAUUCUCCAAGAGUGCACAAUAAGACUAUCGCAGAGGUGGUUGGUGAUUGGUACUUUGAGAGAAACGUCACUAAGGAAGUGGACUGCCCGUAUCCUUGUGAUUUGACUUGCCACAACCUUAUACCAGCAGCUCAGGUAUACAAAUGAUUCAUUAUCAUGGUCAAGAUGUGCUUCCAUUUUAAGAAUAAUGAAGAAUCUUCAUGAAAGAACUGAUAUUCUUCUAAUAACCAUCAUAGUUUAUCUUAGGUUUUGGAGCUAUAAGAUUCUUUGGAGAAGACAAAGUAACAUCUUGGAAACUUUACCUGUUGAAAGAUUUGUUAUUUUUGCUGCCAUCGGAGAGUUACCUGAUGACAACAAGCAUGGGGUUUAGCUACAUUAAUAUCAAAUAGUUGAUUCUUUAUACUCAUUAGCAUUGGGCAUGUCUCAAUGCUUGUUUCAGAUGUUUUACCCCCUUUUGGUAGAUGUUCAGAGCUACUAGAUACAAUACAAAAAUCUGAAAAAAAUUUACUGAAUUCUAUCAAAUUCCCAUUUUGGAUUCCAGUGUAAACGAGAGUUUUUUUACCUCUCUUUUCUUGUAUGAGCAAUGGAAAAUGCUCUUUGUUGAGCCGCCUUA